rnacentral:rRNA from 1 species
GGACGCCAGUCUGCAUGGAGCCGGCCUUGAAAUACCACCCUUUAAUGUUUGAUGUUCUAACGUGGACCCGUGAUCCGGGUUGCGGACAGUGUCUGGUGGGUAGUUUGACUGGGGCGGUCUCCUCCUAAAGAGUAACGGAGGAGCACGAAGGUUGGCUAAUCCUGGUCGGACAUCAGGAGGUUAGUGCAAUGGCAUAAGCCAGCUUGACUGCGAGCGUGACGGCGCGAGCAGGUGCGAAAGCAGGUCAUAGUGAUCCGGUGGUUCUGAAUGGAAGGGCCAUCGCUCAACGGAUAAAAGGUACUCCGGGGAUAACAGGCUGAUACCGCCCAAGAGUUCAUAUCGACGGCGGUGUUUGGCACCUCGAUGUCGGCUCAUCACAUCCUGGGGCUGAAGUAGGUCCCAAGGGUAUGGCUGUUCGCCAUUUAAAGUGGUACGCGAGCUGGGUUUAGAACGUCGUGAGACAGUUCGGUCCCUAUCUGCCGUGGGCGCUGGAGAACUGAGGGGGGCUGCUCCUAGUACGAGAGGACCGGAGUGGACGCAUCACUGGUGUUCGGGUUGUCAUGCCAAUGGCACUGCCCGGUAGCUAAAUGCGGAAGAGAUAAGUGCUGAAAGCAUCUAAGCACGAAACUUGCCCCGAGAUGAGUUCUCCCUGAGACUUUAAGUCUCCUGAAGGAACGUUGAAGACGACGACGUUGAUAGGCCGGGUGUGUAAGCGCAGCGAUGCGUUGAGCUAACCGGUACUAAUGAACCGUGAGGCUUAACCUU